GUGGGAUUAUACUGGGAACGUUGUUGUUGUUGCAUCUGCUUUGCGCCAGAGAAUGAUGAAAAAUUUGAUAUCCCAUCAGUAAAGGAUAAAUUUUUAUGUUUAAUCUGGCGUGAUGUAUUCUUUUCCUUUUUGCUCUAUCAUGAUGGUUGGAGGAAUGUCUUAAAUUAAGUCUGGCCUUGUAUGUCUUCUUUCUUCCAACCCCCCAACCCCCCACCCCUCUUUAUUUUUUGGUGUUAUCAAGAUGGAUUGUUAGCUGCUUGUUUUAUUAAUUAUCAUGUAGGUGCAAGAUGGUGUUCAGGUGAUAAGAGAUAAACAGGAAAUAAUGGAUGC
rnacentral:lncRNA from 1 species